rnacentral:rRNA from 1 species
UGGGGAAUCAUAGACAAUGGGGGAAACCCUGAUCUUGCCAUGCCGCGUGGACGAUGAAGGCCUUAGGGUUGUAAAGUCCUUUCACCGGUGAAGAUAAUGACGGUAGCCGGAGAAGAAGCCCCGGCUAACUCCGUGCCAGCAGCCGCGGUAAUACGGAGGGGGCUAGCGUUGUUCGGAAUUACUGGGCGUAAAGCGCACGUAGGCCGGCUGUUAAGUCGGGGGUGAAAUCCUGGGGCUCAACCCCAGAACUGCCUUCGAUACUGGCAGCCUAGAGGACGGAAGAGGCUAGUGGAAUGGCGAGUGUAGAGGUGAAAUUCGUAGAUAUUCGCCGGAACACCAGUGGCGAAGGCGACUAGCUGGUCCGUUUCUGACGCUGAGGUGCGAAAGCGUGGGGAGCAAA